rnacentral:rRNA from 1 species
UACGGAAGGCAGCAGUGGGGAAUAUUGCACAAUGGGCGAAAGCCUGAUGCAGCUAUGCCGCGUGUAUGAAGAAGGCCUUAGGGUUGUAAAGUACUUUCAUCGGGGAGGAAAAAACAAAACUAAUAAUUUUAUUUCUUGACGUUACCCGAAAAAGAAGCACCGGCUAACUCCGUGCCAGCAGCCGCGGUAAUACGGAGGGUGCUAGCGUUAAUCAGAAUUACUGGGCGUAAAGAGCACGUAGGUGGUUUUUUUAAGUCAGAUGUGAAAUCCCUGGGCUUAACCUGGAACUGCAUUUUGAAACUGAAAUACUAGAGUAUCGUAGAGGGAGGUAGAAUUCUAGGUGUAGCGGUGAAAUGCGUAGAUAUCUGGAGGAAUACCUGUGGCGAAAGCGGCCUCCUAAACGAAUACUGACACUGAGGUGCGAAAGCGUGGGGAGCAAACAGGGAUUAGACC